rnacentral:rRNA from 1 species
ACGAACGCUGGCGGCGUGCUUAACACCUGCAAGUCGAACGGAAAGGCCUGCUUUCCCUUGUGGAUUGCGGGUACUCGAGUGGCGAACGGGUGAGUAACACGUGAGUGAUCUGCCCCCAACUUGGGUAUAAGCCUGGGAAACUGGGUCUAAUUCCCGAUAGGACUGCAGGGUGGUGCCUGUGGUGGAAAACGAUUUUCUAGUGGUUGGGGAUGAGCUCGCGGCCUAUCAGCUUGUUGGUGGGGUAAUGGCCUACCAAGGCGGCGACGGGUAGCCGGCCUGAGAGGGUGGACGGCCACAUUGGGACUGAGAGACGGCCCAGACUCCUACGGGAGGCAGCAGUGGGGAAUAUUGCACAAUGGGCGGAAGCCUGAUGCAGCGACGCCGCGUGGGGGAUGACGGCCUUCGGGUUGUAAACUCCUUUCGACCGCGAGGAAGCCACCUGGUUGGAAGGGUGGUGACGGUAGUGGUAGAAGAAGCACCGGCUAACUACGU